UCAGCACAGCAUGAAGCCUGGCAAGCAGGGAAAUAACUAGAGAAAGAAUUUGAGGAGCUCUGGGGCUGAAGAAAGGUGCUAGCAUAAGCUCUGUGUCUGAGGGGAAAGGAAGAACCGAUUUCCAGACAGAGAAAACAUCAUUCUUCACCCCCGCUGGGAAUGACAAUACAGGAGCAGCCCAGACAGAAGAGCGGCUUUGGUUUCAUGGACUCGGCUGCCAUCUUUGACCUUUUUUCUUGGCCUCAGGUUGAAUCACAGCCACUGC
rnacentral:lncRNA from 1 species